AUUGAACGCUGGCGGUAUGCUUUACACAUGCAAGUCGAACGGCAGCGCGGGGCAACCUGGCGGCGAGUGGCGAACGGGUGAGUAAUAUAUCGGAACAUACCCAAGAGUGGGGGAUAACGUAGCGAAAGUUACGCUAAUAUCGCAUACGAUCUAUGGAUGAAAGCAGGGGAUCUUCGGACUUUGUGCUCCUGGAGCGGGCGAUAUCUGAUUAGCUAGUUGGUGAGGUAAAGGCUCACCAAGGCGACGAUCAGUAGCUGGUCUGAGAGGACGACCAGCCACACUGGAACUGAGACACGGUCCAGACUCCUACGGGAGGCAGCAGUGGGGAAGUUUGAACAAUGGGCGCAAGCCUGAUCCAGCAAUGCCGCGUGAGUGAAGAAGGCCUUCGGGUUGUAAAGCUCUUUUGUCAGGGAAGAAACGGCUGAGGCUAAUAUCCUCGGCUAAUGACGGUACCUGAAGAAUAAGCACCGGCUAACUACGUGCCAGCAGCCGCCGUAA
rnacentral:rRNA from 1 species